rnacentral:tRNA from 1 species
GCGGACGUAGCUCAGUUGGCAGAGCGCCAGCUUCCCAAGCUGGAGGUCGCGGGUUCGACCCCCGUCGUCCGCU